UCCAGACCACCCCUCUUCUUGAAGACAAUUCCUGCCACCAUUAAGGGUGAAGGUCCCAGCCUGUUUAACAGAUCUUUCAGUUGCAAUGUCCUCCUCCCAAGGCAACAUUUUGGUGGGACCUAAAGUCCUGAGCAGAGAAAGUCCCAAGGAAAUGCAUUUACUCAGAAGAUUCACCUUUAGGAUUUGAUGUGUUUAAUUCAGAACAUCCAACCAAACCAAACCAACCAAUCAGCCAACCAAAAAACAAAUACUCAAGGAGAAAUUUCAAGAUUCAAAUUAUAAGACUUCUCUGACAUAAUGUAUUAAGAGCCCAGAAUGAUGCCUUGGGAUACAAGAAGAGAGAAAAAGCACUUGGAAUUCUCCUGAGGGCAGAUACCAGAGCCUGGCACAGCUGAGUUGGACAGCAGUAUAACAGAGAAAAAAAAUAACUUCUUUCCUAAGAACCAACCUGAGUUGGAGACUCUGGCAACUUGUCGGUGACAAAUAAAAGUUGUGCACUGAACAGAUGGAACAAGACUCAGUAACUCGCUGCUGCCAUAUGUGGAGCUACUCUGCCAUGCCAGAUGGACUGGAAUUCCUCCAAAAUUAUGAGUGAAAAGAAACCUUCUGUUUCUUGCAUUGUUUUGGUCAGGGAUUUGGUUACAGAGAUACAAAAUUAAUCAAUAAGGAAAGUGGGUACCAAAGAAAUUAGGCCCACUUUAAUUCUGCAACCAUGGAAAAAGAUUGCCGUUAUGGUCCUGGGUCCAUGGGUGGAGCUAUGCCUGGCAUUCCCUGUGAUCAUAGGGUAGGCUGGAAUGCCUUCAAACUGUGAGUCAGAGUAGACCUUUCCAUUCAAUUAUUUCUGUCAGGUAUUGGUCACAGUGAUGCAAAUGUAAGUAAUGUGAUAUUGUCUAGACAUUUUCUAAGUACUGUUUUUCUACAAGGAUGUAAACUUUUUGAAGGCAGGUAGGAUGGCUUGAUCCUAUAUUCCUAGAUAUUAGCAAAAUGCCUGGGACCUGGAAAUUCUUUAAAUGAAUUGAUGAAUGAGUGAGUAAUGGAGCCAACACUUGGGACAGGCUGGUCAGUCGAUCUUAUCUGAAUGUGGAGUAUAGAAUGGCAUACUGUGGUUAGCAGGACUCAUGGGAAAGCAUCUCAAAAAAUAGACUCAACAAUUGCAAGCCCCAAGGCAACAGAUCUUUUCAAUGUAUUAAUGGUAGAGAUGUAAAGAGUUAGUAACUCAGAGCUUUACUCUUCUCUCACGUGUUUUGGAAGCAUCAUCACUCUGGUAGUGCAAAUUUGUAUGGGAUUUUAAUUUAGUAACUAGUGCUUAAAAAUGUUCAUGUAUUCCUAUGUAAUAAUAUUUAAUCUCUAAUAUUUAAAAAAAGUCUUAUUUCCAAUUGUGUGUAUGCAUUUGCAUACAUGUAUAUAUACAUUAAUAUUGAUGUCCACAGAGAGCAGCGCAUUAGAUUUUCCUAGUGAUGGAGUUGUAGGUGAUUGUAAGUCACCUGAUGUGGAUGUUGGGACCAAACUUGUAUCCUCUUUAAGAGUAGUACUUGCUCUUAACCAUGGAGCUACCUCUUCAGUCCCAAUAUUGAGUCUCUAAGUUAAUAGUUUAUAUCAAUAACAUAUGAUAUGAAGGAAUUUAAUUUAUUUUUUACUGUCCCACACUCAGUAUUUACUAGUUUCAUGACAGUAGGCAAUAUUUGACACACUGAUCAAUAAUUGUUUUACUUAAUGUGUAAUGAUGGGCAUACAGUAGUAGUGUGAGAAUUUUCUG